UGCUGUCAUAUCAUGUUGAAACACUGGGUCUCAUAUAAUUACUGAAGUUAAGUAAUUUUGAGCCUGAUCAAUACCAAGAUGGGUGACCAGCUGGUAAUACCAAGUGCUGUAAG